rnacentral:rRNA from 1 species
GACGAACGCUGGCGGCGUGCUUAACACAUGCAAGUCGAACGGAAAGGCCCUGCUUUUGUGGGGCGCUCUAGUGGCCAACGGGUGAGUAACACAUGAGUAACCUGCCCUUGACUUUGGUAUAGCUUCAUGAAACUGGGGCUAGUACAGGAUAGGAGCUCCUGCUGCAUGGAGGGGGUUGGAAAGUUUCUGCGGUUGGUGAUGGACUCACGGCUUAUCAUCUUGUUGGCGGGGUAGUGGCUUACCAAGGCUUUGACGGGAAGACCGCCUGAGAGGGUGACCGGACAGAUUGCCACUGAGAUACUGACCAGACUCCUACAGUACGACGCAAUGCGGAAUAUUGCACUAUGGGCCGAAGCCUGAUGCUCCGACGCCGCCUGCUGGAUGACAGGCUUCGGGUUGUAUACCGCUUUCACCUGUGACGAAUCGUGAUUGACUCUAACGGGUGAGAAAGCACCCGCUAACUACAUGACUACAGCCGCGGUGAUACGUAGGGUGCGAGCGUCUCCGUAUUCUGGGGUGUAAAGGUCUAAUAGGAGGUAGAUCGCGUCGUAAGUGUAUUCUUGAGGCUUAACCCUGAGCGUGCUUCGAUCACGGCUUGACUGAUGCAUGGUAGUAGAGACUGCAUUUCCUGAUGUAGCGGUGGAACGCGCAGAUAUCAGGAUGAACACCAGUAGUGAAGGCGGUUAUGUGGGCCUCUCCAGCGCAUGAGACGCGAAAGCGUCAAGAGCGAACAGGCUUACAUGCCUUGAUAGUCCACGCUGUAAACGCUGGGUACUAGGUGUGGGGUCCAUUCCACGGGUUCUGUGCCGUAGACUAACGCUUCAAGUACCCUCCCUGGGGAGUACGGCCCCAAGGCUGAAACUCAUCGGAAUAGUCGGGGCCCCGCACAACCGGCGGAGCAUCAGGAGUAAUUAGAUGCAACGCGUAGAGCCUCACUUGCGUGUGACAUGGAUCGGGAGCGCUCAGAGAUGGGUGUGCCUCCUUUGGGGUCGUUUCACAGGUGGUGCAUGGCUGUUGUCAGCUCGUGUCGUGAGAGGGUGGGUUAAGUCCCGCAACGAGCGCCACCCUCGUUCAUUGUUGCCAGCCCGUUAUGGUGGGGCCUCAGUGGAGCCCGCCCGCGUCAACUCGGAGGAAGGUGGGGAAGACGUCAAGUCAUCAUGCCCCUUAUGUUCAGGGCUUCCCCCAUGGUACAAUGGCUGGUACCGAGAGUGGCGAGCCUGUGAGGGUGAGUGAAUUUCGGAAAGCCGGUCUCAGUUCGGAUUGGGGUCUGCAACUCGACCUCAUGAAGUCGGAGUCGCUAGUAAUCGCAGAUCAGCCACGGUGCGGUGAAUACGUUCCCGGGCCU